rnacentral:rRNA from 1 species
CCUACGGGGGGCUGCAGUGGGGAAUAUUGGACAAUGGGGGGAACCCUGAUCCAGCCAUGCCGCGUGUGUGAAGAAGGCCCUCGGGUUGUAAAGCACUUUCAGUGAGGAAGAACGCCUGGUGGUUAAUACCCAUCAGGAAAGACAUCACUCACAGAAGAAGCACCGGCUACACUCCGUGCCAGCAGCCGCGGUAAUACGGAGGGUGCGAGCGUUAAUCGGAAUUACUGGGCGUAAAGCGCGCGUAGGUGGCUUGAUAAGCCGGUUGUGAAAGCCCCGGGCGCAACCUGGGAACGGCAUCCGGAACUGUCAAGCUAGAGUGCAGGAGAGGAAGGUAGAAUUCCCGGUGUAGCGGUGAAAUGCGUAGAGAUCGGGAGGAAUACCAGUGGCGAAGGCGGCCUUCUGGACUGACACUGACACUGAGGUGCGAAAGCGUGGGUAGCAAACAGGAUUAGAUACCCUUGUAGUC